rnacentral:rRNA from 1 species
UGGGGAAUUUUGGACAAUGGGGGAAACCCUGAUCCAGCCAUCCCGCGUGUGCGAUGAAGGCCUUCGGGUUGUAAAGCACUUUUGGCAGGAAAGAAACGUCGCGGGUUAAUACCCCGCGAAACUGACGGUACCUGCAGAAUAAGCACCGGCUAACUACGUGCCAGCAGCCGCGGUAAUACGUAGGGUGCAAGCGUUAAUCGGAAUUACUGGGCGUAAAGCGUGCGCAGGCGGUUCGGAAAGAAAGAUGUGAAAUCCCAGAGCUUAACUUUGGAACUGCAUUUUUAACUACCGGGCUAGAGUGUGUCAGAGGGAGGUGGAAUUCCGCGUGUAGCAGUGAAAUGCGUAGAUAUGCGGAGGAACACCGAUGGCGAAGGCAGCCUCCUGGGAUAACACUGACGCUCAUGCACGAAGGCGUGGGGAGCAAACAGGAUUAGAUACCCUGGUAGUCCACGCCCUAAACGAUGUCAACUAGCUGUUGGGGCCUUCGGGCCUUGGUAGCGCAGCUAACGCGUGAAGUUGACCGCCUGGGGAGUACGGUCGCAAGAUUAAAACUCAAAUGAAUUGACGGGGGUC